CAUUCAGCCAGCUUCUUUCCUGUAAUAUUCUUUUGUAUUACAAACUUUCUGGUAAAUGAAUAUGAUUGGAAGAGCAUUGCCCUCUCUCCCUCAAAUUAACAAUAGCCAAUGAGUUCUACUGUCUCCAACGAGAGGAAAAUACAAAAGUGAGGAAGGACACUCUGUGCUGCCUUUUUUUCUGUCUGGAAGGGGGUGUUUCAGGAUCUAAUUGAUGAAUAGCAGCUAUAACUGGGAGCUGCGUCCUUCAAUUGAACUUUAAUUCAUAUGUGCAUCAAUCAUUUUCCCCCCUUUUACAACAUAAUGGAUACUCACAGCUCUGAUUACUGUGCAUUUUGUCCUUGUGAUGCGGUGUAUGUGUGUGUGUGUGUGUAAGAAAGCAAGAACACUGAUUUUUCAUUGGAAAUGGUAAACACGAUACAGGGAAAUCUUCCUCUUUCUUUUUCUGUCCCUUGCUCUCUCUCCCUCUGUCUCCAUUAUGAAGUAAACAGGGCCUCAGCUGUGCUCUUUGCACACCCCACCACUCAAAUAUUGAAUUUUUUUGUCCUUCAUGGAGACAAACCAAAGCAAUGUGAAAGGGACUGCAGCAGUCUGCGGGAAAACAGAGAGAGACUAUGUGUGUGUGUGUGUGUGUGUUUGUAUUAAUGAAAAACCUGGUCCUCAAGGUAAAUCAUUAAAUUUCAGGGAUAAAGCUGUAGUGGAGGACUUUAACAUAUAAAUGAACGCCUGUUGUAUUCAAUCCCUCGCCAAACUGGGCCACUGGGCCUGAGUUGACCCCCUGCUUGGCCUAUGCACACAGGCUCCAACAGAGAUAUCUCUCUUCUGAAUUGGAAAUAACGAAAAGGGAUCAUCGACAAAUGUCUUCAUCAGAAAUGGAGCUGGUGCUUACUUCUCCUGUGGAGGCCAUCUCACAGCGAAGGACGGGGUCUGCAUCCCUCAGUCGUGGCCAGGAGAACAUGGGUGCCUGGAGAAAGCAAGGAAGGGAAGAGGGUGGCGUGUUUCCAGAAUGUAUGUGACUGUCACAAUAACAAAGGCUCUGCAACCACAACAUCCUACCAACACGUACAGACACUACUUCCACAUCUCCCUAUCCCACACCGACCGCCCACCCCUAAGAGACAUUAGAGUUGUGAAGCUCCACAACAUGAACAAUGUUAUCUUGGGGCACCAGCUGAGCUCCAGCAGAGAAGGAAAUGAAUAAAUGUUUUCCCUGAAAGUAAAUGGACCUCACAGCAGAUCCAGCAGCAUCUUGUUACUCUGUUGCACCCGUCAUUAGCAAUUGCCAAGAGGGGGAAAAUUUUAACAGGAACCAAGGUGUCGUAAUGCAAAGGUGGGAGCACUUCCUGGACUCAAGGUUACAGAAGCAACCCAGAUGUGUCGUAGUUCAGACAGAGAAGGAGAUGAAGGCUAACAGGGAGCUGAGAGCCCUCCAUGGGGCUUGGGCUACCCCGAGAUCAUCUAGUAUACUGGAGAAGACGGAGCGCUCCUCAGCCCGGUCAAUCUGCAAGGGGCUCGUCCCCAGAAUCUUCACCCCGUUCAGGUGUAGUGGGGCGGCCAGGUUGUUGGGUAUCUGGCCUCCCACUGACACAAUACUGCCGGAGCAACCCUGGAAAGGAGAGGAUGGAAAAAGAAGAAUGUGCAAGAUUAAAUAAAAAAAGAGCAUAGAACAGCAGAGACCACAUACCUGACCGUGAUAGGUACAAUACAGGUAGUUGGUCAUGGCUGGAUACUCUGCUGCCAAGGUGUCAAUCUGAGAGGGGUCAGAGAAAGUGAAGAGAGGGGCAGUUAUCUAUCUGUCUGUCUAUCUGGCCUACGCUGGGAGCUCCAAGAGGUUCCUGCUCACCUGUUUGACCCAGGGUUUGAUGCCAUGACUGAGUCUCAGCUCUCUGGCUGCUCUCUCACUGGAACCCAGAAUCUGACCGACCUGCCGGUCUGAGAAGCCGUCCUGCUUUGCCUUCAGCAGCAGCCCCUUGGGCACUGUGUCACUGUGGGAGCAGACAUGUUUUCCAUCGGUGGCCCCUUCUCAUCUGUGUAUUUUCAAGUCCACUGAACUAAGAGGGUCAAUCCAACAAGCAGGUCAUGAUAGGCUCUGCUACCCAGCAGUGUGGACGGCAGGGGGCGGCCCACCUCAGAGCGAUCAAUAACACAUCGACAAACAAGGCGCCAAGGUGCCAGAGCAGCAGAUAAAAGCAAGUCUAAGCCCUGGAGUUUAUUGCAAAGAAAAGAAAACGGACAAAGCACUAGCAGAUCCAGCACUCCUAUGCAUAGAAACAAUGAGCCUGCUGAGCAGCAGAGCCUGAAGCCCACCUGCUCUCAGCUCUACGCUCCAUCAGUCUGGCAGCAGCCUACUGCUCUGUGCCCAUCACUAUGUCCCCUGCUCCAGAAGCGGUGGAGACUACAACAGCCUUCCACGUGUCAGCGCGUUGCAGCCGGCGCCCACCAGACGGCCAGCCAUUAAUUAUUAAACAGUUGAGUCAGGAGAACUGGCGGCCGAGCCAUGAAGAUUCACGGUGGCUGACCAGGUAAGAACCCGAGGGCAGAGAGAGAGGGAGACAGCUGAGACGAGACGAAGCACGAGGAAGAAAGCAACAGAGACGUGAAGGGACUGGAGUCCGCUGUGUUUUCAUUUCUAUUGAAAGAUGAUUCUGUCAGUCUAAGAAAAACAAAACAAAGUCCUAAUAUAUUUAUCCUUUUCUAAUUCCUGCAGACACAGACUGAAGCUUUGUUAAUGGGACAGGGGGAUCUUCGGUACACAAACAGUGCUGUGGGAGGAAGUAAAUGCUGCAUAUGAGUCGGGAAAACCUGCAGGGCGAGUGCAAGACUGAAAAAACAGUCCUGCGUAGACAAGAAACAGACUUGUAGCUAUAAAACCAUUAAACAAGCUAUGGAUGCAGAACUUACACAUAUGUUCACAUCUAUAUUUAACAGGAGGAAAUACCAAUAUUCAUAAAGUGGAUUACUGUGUGCUGUUAAAGUUGUCAGGAUCCUGCUCCAAACC